AUGUGAUGAAUAGAGCAUUAAGCUGCUCUCACAUUAACUCGUGUCUGCCCAUGGUAAGUUGUCCUUGCAGCUCAAAAACCUCAGCAGAGCAGGUUUGUCAGUGGGGAACAGGCUGUGGCCUGACGUGACAAUUUGCACAUUGCACUGGUAGCAGGGGUUGACCUCGAGGAGAAUCCAGCUUUGCUUUUAAUGAUGACACUUGGUCUUGGGCACACUCAUCCUUCACAGCCCAGAAUCAGCUGGGUCAGUAACUGCUCAGCACACCUGAAAUCAGACAAAAGCACACAUGGAUCUCAGUGCUGGAAAAAAGAUCUUGUGCAAGUUAUCCCCAGCUUGGAGAAGAAGUGUUAAUACCCCUUUUUGCCUAGACCAGUAGGGCUAAAAUCAUGUUUACAGGUUUAUAUGUAAUUAUUGUAGAGAAAGGAGCCCAGCUGGAGGAGCAGUGUUUAGCAACACCUUGUAAAUGGCCUGUCACUGUGUUACUAAAGCCUGCUGGGUGCCAGAGCUAUUUGUGGGGACGGGUCACAGCAGGCUGGGUCACUGGGGGAGGACAGCAGCUGGUUACUGGGAGAGGGCAGCAGCCUCUGCCUCUUGGCUGGCCCACCUUGGGUUUAGCUGGAAGCUUGCCUUGGCACUUGGCCAGCUCCUGUCUCUUCUCUGAUCUUAACCCUUUGCAGGCAAAACACUUCUCCCUAUGUUUCUCUCACUCCAGCCUUGGAGUGUUUCAAUGCUUGGCACAGCUUUGUGGAGAAGGGGAGCAUCCAGCAUGCCUGCCCUGCAUGGAGACUUGCUGCUUCUUGAGAGCAGUGUGGGCACCCAGGUGUUCAUCCAGCCUUUCCCUGUGAGCUGAGCACCCAGAGUGUUCAUCCAGCCUUUCCCUGGGAGCUGAGCACCCAGGUGUUCAUCCAGCCUUUCCCUGUGAGCUGAGCACCCAGAGUGUUCAUCCAGCCUUUCCCCAUGGGCUGAGCACCCAGAGUGUUCAUCCAGCCUUUCCCUGGGAGCUGAGCACCCAGGUGUUCACCCAGCCUUUCCCUAUGGGCUGAGCACCCAGAGUGUUCAUCCAGCCUUUCCCCAUGGGCUGAGCACCCAGGUGUUCAUCCAGCCUUUCCCCAUGGGCUGAGCACCCAGGCACCAAAGCAUCCAGCAAAGACUUUGCAGCCCCUGCUCUGUCUGACCCAUGGGGCUCAGGGAUUCCUGAGCCCAAGGAACAUGGGCCUGCUCUGAAUGGAGGGUUGCACAAUAAGGCUGCUUGGGAGGUAAGGCAGGAUCUGAUUUCUAAACUGCUGCCUCUCUUGCUCUCAAAGGAUGUUACUUUUUUUUUCCCUAAGCAAAGUUGAGCUGGUUUUUGCUCUUGUUUUCAUGUGUGUUCUUGUGCACCCGCUUUGGGGCUGCAGCAUUUGGAGGUGGUUGUGGGUCACAGCAUGUGCAGGGCUCCCUCCCAUCACUGCACAGCUGCCAGUUUAUCUGAUCUUUUGUGUGUGUAAACAACCCUUUUAUGAUAUAACCUGAGAGCAGCCAGCAGACAUGUGUUGGCUCGUUCAAAGGGGAAAAAAACGGCUGACUUUGCAGGGCAGGGUGGUGCCAAGCUGUUCAUACUCUCUGUUACUUUGGCCUUGGUUCAGCCAGUGGGCUGUUUAUUUGAGUUUGCUGGCAGUAGACUAACCCCAAACCAUUCUGCUGCUGUGGAACAUGAAAUACUCUUCCUUUUACUUCUAUAUUGUGAAGCCUCCAGAAUUUCUUGUUUCCUCAUUUGCAGAGUGAAUCCUUGCUUUGGAUUCCCUUCCCUGGGAAGAGCGUUUGCCAUAGGUGGCCUCUUGCAGAGGCAUUUAGCAGCCUGGCAGAGCCCUCUUGUGACACAGGCAUGUCAAACCUUUUACAGGCUGAGACCACCAUCAGGCAGGUGACAGCAGCUGGGAGGGGCUUGUUUCCAAAGCUGUUCCUCUGAGGCACAUUGCUCAUGCAGCACAAGCUGUCACUGGGGCAGGUAACCAGAGGUGCAGCUGGAGUGGACUUUGGAUGCUUUCCUGGCAGCUUGGUCCCUAUCUUCCAUUUUUCAGACUGGUAGGUGCAGAUUUCUCCUGGAAAUAAUGCUCUUUUGCCCCAGUGGACUGUGAAUUCCUCUUGGGCUCGGCUCAGCAGACUUGAUUUCACAAUGUCUGGUUGGAUCAAAAUCAUUUUCGUGCUUUGCCCGAGGUUGACUAAUGAUCCCUGGGCUGGUGGAGCAGCCGUUACCCAUUAGUGAGAUGAACGAGUAGUUCUUCAAGCUGUUGACUUCUCCCCAGAACAACAAUAAAGGGGUUCUUGAUGA